AUUGAACGCUGGCGGCAUGCCUUACACAUGCAAGUCGAACGGUAACAGGUUAAGCUGACGAGUGGCGAACGGGUGAGUAAUAUAUCGGAACGUGCCCAGUCGUGGGGGAUAACUGCUCGAAAGAGCAGCUAAUACCGCAUACGACCUGAGGGCGAAAGCGGGGGAUCGCAAGACCUCGCGCGAGUGGCGCGGCCGAUAUCAGAUUAGGUAGUUGGGGGGGUAAAGGCCCACCAAGCCAACGAUCUGUAGCUGGGCUGAGAAGACGACCAGCCACACUGGGACUGAGACACGGCCCAGACUCCUACGGGAGGCAGCAGUGGGGAAUUUUGGACAAUGGGCGCAAGCCUGAUCCAGCCAUGCCGCGUGCGGGAAGAAGGCCUUCGGGUUGUAAACCGCUUUUGUCAGGGAAGAAAAGGUUCUGGUUAAUACCUGGGACUCAUGACGGUACCUGAAGAAUAAGCACCGGCUAACUACGUGCCAGCCGCCGCCGUAA
rnacentral:rRNA from 1 species